AUGACAAAAAUGCUUGCCGAAGUGCUGGUGGUUGUCAAUGAACUGUCAAGGGAUGUGCAGUUCAUCAAGGGUGAAUUGGCAGAGGCUAGAAUGACCCCAUCUUGUGGACCAGGGCCAGCCACAAGCCAAGAGAUGUUCCCCAUCCAGCUGCCGAUCACCAACGAAGAAGACUUCAAUGAGGCCGAAACGUUGUUGGGAACUGAGCCAGUCCGACAAAAGAUGAUUGCCCGCUUGGCCUUGGUGGGAGGCACUAGCUCCACAUGUAUGGUAAGGAGGAUGCUUGCAACGGUUUUGACCAACGGCCUGGCCUGCAAGUUCAAUUGGGCAGGAAAAACCUGCACACACACCUGAAGGGAUGCAAAGCAGCCCUUCAAAGACACAGCCCUGCAAGACUGCAUGUUUGUUGCUUCUCGGCAGUGUGACCGCAAACUCACACAGCAGGCCUUCAGCGACAUUGUGAAACAUUGGCUACGUUACGCCCCUUGGCGUGCAGGAGGCAUCAACAAAAAUGUCCUCUUCAUAUGGGCUAUGGCCCUUGUUGGUCUGUGAUUACACAUGUGAUUACACUAAUUCGCCUUUUCUUGUUGGUAUCUUUUGUGGUGAAGGCAAGCCAAAGAUUCUUUCAGUACCUUCAACAAUUUGAUUAUUUAAUUUGUUUUUUCUAAUAAAUGUUUUUAUCACUAAAAUCUAAAUGAA